UUAUCUGCUGCACUAUAAUAAAUAUAUGUAGCCCCAACUAAUUUAAAUUAAGUUAUCUUACAUCAAUGUGCUUUAUUUGACUUGAGGCUACAUAUAUUUAUUAGAUGGAAAGCCUGCUCAUAAUUUAAAUGAGUUCAUCCAAUGAGUCA